rnacentral:ribozyme from 1 species
GAUAGAGGAGAGGAGAGAAGAAAUGAAUAAAAGAGGAGCGAAGGCUGAGAGAAAUAGAAGCACACUAUCUGUUACGUUUCUUUUUUUUUUUUUCCGAUUUGCCGUAUAUGGAUCUUGUAUGCUGUGUGACA